UGACGACCGGUCUGGCCUAGUGGGUAGUGACCCUGCCUGUGAAGCCGAUGGUCCUGGCAUCUGAACCGCAUUAAGAUUUUCACACAAAAAUAGAAAAAAAACAAUAAAUUUUGGGGGUCUUCAUAAAUGAUUCAUAAAUGAUAUUGAGGUUUCUAAUAUAUUUUUUUUCUAAACUGAAUAGUUUGCGCGAGAGACACUUCCAAAGUGGUAAAAUGUGUCCCCCCCCCCCUGUAACUUCUAAAAUAAGAGAAUGAUAAAACUAAAAAAAAUAUAUGAUGUAUAUUACCACGCAAACUUCCACCGAAAAUUGGUUUGAACGAGAUCUAGUAAGUAGUUUUUUUUUAAUACGUCAUAAA